GACGAACGCUGGCGGCGUGCUUAACACAUGCAAGUCGAGCGGUAAGGCCCUUUCGGGGGUACACGAGCGGCGAACGGGUGAGUAACACGUGGGUGACCUGCCCUUAGCUCUGGGAUAAGCCUGGGAAACUGGGUCUAAUACCGGAUAUGACUCCAUGACGCAUGUUGUGGGGUGGAAAGCCUUGUGCGGCUAGGGAUGGGCCCGCGGCCUAUCAGCUUGUUGGUGGGGUGANGGCCUACCAAGGCGACGACGGGUAGCCGGCCUGAGAGGGCGACCGGCCACACUGGGACUGAGACACGGCCCAGACUCCUGCGGGAGGCAGCAGUGGGGAAUCUUGCGCAAUGGGCGAAAGCCUGACGCAGCGACGCCGCGUGGGGA
rnacentral:rRNA from 1 species